GAACCCACGUACGUUGAAAAGUGCGGGGAUGAGGUGUGGAUAGCGGUGAAAUUCCAAACGAACUUGGAGAUAGCUGGUUCUCUCCGAAAUAGCUUUAGGGCUAGCCUUGGAGUAAAGGAUCGUGGAGGUAGAGCACUGUUUGGACUAGGGGCCCGUCAAGGGUUACUGAAUUCAGAUAAACUCCGAAUGCCAUUGAUCUAUAUCCAGGAGUCAGACUAUGAGUGAUAAGAUCCGUAGUCGAAAGGGAAACAGCCCAGAUCACCAGUUAAGGUCCCAAAAUUUAUGCUAAGUGGAAAAGGAUGUGGCAUUGCGUAGACAACUAGGAUGUUGGCUUAGAAGCAGCCAUUCAUUUAAAGAGUGCGUAAUAGCUCACUAGUCGAGUGACGCCGCGCCGAAAAUGUACCGGGGCUAAGCAUAGUACCGAAACUGUGGAUGUGUUAUUUAUAACACGUGGUAGGAGAGCGUUCUAAGGGCGAAGAAGGUAGAUCGUAAGGACUGCUGGAGCGCUUAGAAGUGAGAAUGCCGGUAUGAGUAGCGAAAGAUAGGUGAGAAUCCUAUCCGCCGAAAGACUAAGGUUUCCUGGGGAAGGCUCGUCCUCCCAGGGUUAGUCGGGACCUAAGAUGAGGCCGAAAGGCGUAGUCGAUGGAAAACAGGUUGAUAUUCCUGUACUAUAAUGCAUUGUUUGAACAAUGGAGGGACGCAGCAGGCUAAACGAAUGUGCGAAUGGAAGAGCACGUCCAAGCAACAAGUUUUAUUAUGAGUCAAAUGCUUAUAAUUAUACGGAUGAGUUGUGAUGGGGAGCGAAAUUAAGUAGCGAAGUCGUUGAUGUCACACUGCCGAGAAAAGCUUCUAGUUAGAUGUAUUGUACCCGUACCGCAAACCGACACAGGUAGUCGAGGAGAGAAUCCUAAGGUGAGCGAGUGAACUCUCGUUAAGGAACUCGGCAAAAUGACCCCGUAACUUCGGGAGAAGGGGUGCUGAUUUUAAAUCAGCCGCAGUGAAUAGGCCCAAACAACUGUUUAUCAAAAACACAGGUCUCUGCUAAAUCGAAAGAUGACGUAUAGGGGCUGACGCCUGCCCGGUGCUGGAAGGUUAAGAGGAGAGCUUAGCGUAAGCGAAGGUUUGAAUUGAAGCCCCAGUAAACGGCGGCCGUAACGAUAACGGUCCUAAGGUAGCGAAAUUCCUUGUCGGGUAAGUUCCGACCUGCACGAAUGGCGUAACGAUGGCGGCGCUGUCUCCACCCGAGACUCAGUGAAAUUGAAAUCGCUGUGAAGAUGCAGUGUAUCCGCGGCUAGACGGAAAGACCCCGUGAACCUUUACUAUAGCUUUGCACUGGACUUUGAAUUUGCUUGUGUAGGAUAGGUGGGAGGCUUUGAAGUGGGGACGCCAGUUCUCAUGGAGCCAUCCUUGAAAUACCACCCUGGCAACUUUGAGGUUCUAACUCAGGUCCGUUAUCCGGAUCGAGGACAGUGUAUGGUGGGUAGUUUGACUGGGGCGGUCUCCUCCCAAAGAGUAACGGAGGAGUACGAAGGUGCGCUCAGACCGGUCGGAAAUCGGUCGUAGAGUAUAAAGGCAAAAGCGCGCUUGACUGCGAGACAAACACGUCGAGCAGGUACGAAAGUAGGUCUUAGUGAUCCGGUGGUUCUGUAUGGAAGGGCCAUCGCUCAACGGAUAAAAGGUACUCCGGGGAUAACAGGCUGAUACCGCCCAAGAGUUCAUAUCGACGGCGGUGUUUGGCACCUCGAUGUCGGCUCAUCACAUCCUGGGGCUGAAGCCGGUCCCAAGGGUAUGGCUGUUCGCCAUUUAAAGUGGUACGCGAGCUGGGUUUAGAACGUCGUGAGACAGUUCGGUCCCUAUCUGCCGUGGACGUUUGAGAUUUGAGAGGGGCUGCUCCUAGUACGAGAGGACCGGAGUGGACGAACCUCUGGUGUUCCGGUUGUCACGCCAGUGGCAUUGCCGGGUAGCUAUGUUCGGAAGAGAUAACCGCUGAAAGCAUCUAAGCGGGAAACUUGCCUCAAGAUGAGAUCUCACUGGGAUCUUGA
rnacentral:rRNA from 1 species